rnacentral:rRNA from 1 species
UACGAAGGGUGCUAGCGUUGCUCGGAAUCACUGGGCGUAAAGCGCACGUAGGCGGUUUGUUAAGUCAGGGGUGAAAUCCUGGAGCUCAACUCCAGAACUGCCUUUGAUACUGGCGAUCUUGAGUCCGGGAGAGGUGAGUGGAACUCCGAGUGUAGAGGUGAAAUUCGUAGAUAUUCGCAAGAACACCAGUGGCGAAGGCGGCUCACUGGCCCGGUACUGACGCUGAGGUGCGAAAGCGUGGGGAGCAAACAGG